rnacentral:lncRNA from 1 species
GGACCAUAAAAACUAUAGCUAUAAUUAGUCUAAUUGAUUAUAGAAAAGCAUAAAUCUAAAACUGCAUAAAAAAAUUUAUACUAAAACAUACUAUAUUAUAUAUUCAAUGUGUAGAUGUACUCAUUUGAAGUCCAACAAAAUUGAGUUUUCUAUUUUAUGAUUUCUAUGUGAUUUACUGUGAUUUUUCAAAAAAUUCAGCCAAAAUAAAUAAAAAGAAAAGGACAAAACCGUUUUCAAAACUAGGUCAGUGAUGUAAUGUGCACGGAUUUAAAAGUUGAGAGAUGUAUUUUAUCCGGUUUUAGAGUUCAGGGAUAAAAAUUAGACUUUCGUGAAAGUUGAGGACCUAAAGUGGAUUUUUUUUAAAAAAAUAACAUUUGUUUUUGAGCUGCCCCGUUUCCUAAUCCUGGGCCAUUGAAUUCCUAAUUGGGCAGGAUUCUAGUGCGUUUUUGAGCUGCUCCGUUUCCUAAUCUUGGUAAUGCUGAAAAAAGAGAAAAAAAAGAAGUCUUCCUGUUUAUGGGCUUCCUUGUCUCCCAAUGUACUGCAAUGGGCUAGAUUUCACUUGUGUCGCACUGUCUGUUCCGUGUAAAUAAGGAAGAAGUCCACUUUAGGUCCUUCAACUUUUGUAAAAGUCUAUUUUUCGUUCCUGAACUUCAAAACCGGGUAAAAUACAUCUCUCAAUUUUUGAAACCAUACAUAUUACGUCCCUGAUAUGGUUACGAGCGGUUUUGAAGGCAGUUUUGUCUUUUUCUUUUUUAUUUAUUUUGGCUGAAUAUUUAUAAAAUUAUAGUAAAACACAUAAAAUUUAUAAAAUAGUAAAUCUGAUUUUGUUGGACUUCAGAUAAGU